AGAGUUUGAUCCUGGCUCAGGACGAACGCUGGCGGCGUGCUUAACACAUGCAAGUCGAACGGAAAGGCCCUUCGGGGUACUCGAGUGGCGAACGGGUGAGUAACACGUGGGUGAUCUGCCCUGCACUUUGGGAUAAGCCUGGGAAACUGGGUCUAAUACCAAAUAUGACCGCGCACUUCCUGGUGUGUGGUGGAAAGCUUUUGCGGUGUGGGAUGGGCCCGCGGCCUAUCAGCUUGUUGGUGGGGUAAUGGCCUACCAAGGCGACGACGGGUAGCCGGCCUGAGAGGGUGACCGGCCACACUGGGACUGAGAUACGGCCCAGACUCCUACGGGAGGCAGCAGUGGGGAAUAUUGGACAAUGGGCGAAAGCCUGAUCCAGCAAUGCCGCGUGAGUGAUGAAGGCCUUAGGGUUGUAAACCUCUUUCAAUAGGGACGAAGCGCAAGUGACGGUACCUAUAGAAGAAGGACCGGCCAACUACGUGCCAGCAGCCGCGGUAAUACGUAGGGUCCGAGCGUUGUCCGGAAUUACUGGGCGUAAAGAGCUCGUAGGUGGUUUGUCGCGUUGUUCGUGAAAACUCACAGCUUAACUGUGGGCGUGCGGGCGAUACGGGCAGACUAGAGUACUGCAGGGGAGACUGGAAUUCCUGGUGUAGCGGUGGAAUGCGCAGAUAUCAGGAGGAACACCGGUGGCGAAGGCGGGUCUCUGGGCAGUAACUGACGCUGAGGAGCGAAAGCGUGGGGAGCGAACAGGAUUAGAUACCCCGGUAGUCC
rnacentral:rRNA from 1 species